UGAGCAUUUAUAAUACAGUAAAAUAUGCAUAACUUUUGCACUUUGGAGCAUAACAGUUGUGAGUUGUGCAUAACGUAAACUUCUGGAAGCAAGCCGCUUGUUUCAGAGGCGUUUUUUCACAAUGACUGACGUUGAAAGUGGAAAGAAAGAUGUGUGUAAAAAAGACCCAUCUACCACUGAAAAUAAGCAAAAACCUACUGCACCUAUCACAUCAAAAAUCCGAGCAUAUUCCGGUGUAAUCUCGUUCUUCAAAUAUUUUGGUGGAGGGUUCUUUGUGUGGUCGGUUGGCUGUUGGGAUUUUAACUAUGGUUGGCUACUGUCUGGUAUUGCUAUUUACACACUCUAUAAAUGUUAUAAAAAAGAUAAAAAGUUUGGAGUCGAACCGCCAGCUGAAUUUGUCGAUGCAAACGAUACAAGCCGUAUGAAAGAUUUGCCAAAUUGGGU